GGAGAGGUGGGUGAGUGGCUUAAACCAGCGGUUUGCUAAACCGCCGUACACUGUCAAGGUGUACCGAGGGUUCAAAUCCCUCCCUCUCCG
rnacentral:tRNA from 1 species